CUGACGUUAGCGGCGGACGGGUGAGUAACACGUGGGUAACCUACCUAUAAGACUUGGAUAACUCCGGGAAACCGGGGCUAAUACCGGAUAACACAUGAAACCGCAUGGUUUCAUGAUGAAAGACGGUUUUGCUGUCACUUAUAGAUGGACCCGCGGCGUAUUAGCUAGUUGGUAAGGUAACGGCUUACCAAGGCAACGAUACGUAGCCGACCUGAGAGGGUGAUCGGCCACAUUGGAACUGAGACACGGUCCAG
rnacentral:rRNA from 1 species